UACGUAGGGGGCGAGCGUUGUCCGGAAUCAUUGGGCGUAAAGCGCGUGUAGGCGGCCCGGUAAGUCCGCUGUGAAAGUCGGGGGCUCAACCCUCGGAUGCCGGUGGAUACUGUCGGGCUUGAGUACGGAAGAGGCGAGUGGAAUUCCUGGUGUAGCGGUGAAAUGCGCAGAUAUCAGGAGGAACACCGGUGGCGAAGGCGGGUCUCUGGGCCGAUAUUGACGCUGAGGAGCGAAAGCGUGGGGAGCAAACAGG
rnacentral:rRNA from 1 species